UUGCGGCACGAGUUGUAGAUUGCAGGUUGGAGUCUGUGUGGAAGGCGGUGUCCAAGUCCCUUGGAACAGGGCGCCCAGGAGGGUGAGAGCCCCGUGGGAUGCCGGCGGAAGCAGUGAGGCCCUUCUGACGAGUCGAGUUGUUUGGGAAUGCAGCUCCAAGCGGGUGGUAAAUUCCAUCUAAGGCUAAAUACUGGCGAGAGACCGAUAGCGAACAAGUACUGUGAAGGAAAGAUGAAAAGCACUUUGAAAAGAGAGUGAAACAGCACGUGAAAUUGUUGAAAGGGAAGGGUAUUGCGCCCGACAUGGGGAUUGCGCACCGCUGCCUCUCGUGGGCGGCGCUCUGGGCUUUCCCUGGGCCAGCAUCGGUUCUUGCUGCAGGAGAAGGGGUUCUGGAACGUGGCUCUUCGGAGUGUUAUAGCCGGGGCCAGAUGCUGCGUGCGGGGACCGAGGACUGCGGCCGUGUAGGUCACGGAUGCUGGC
rnacentral:rRNA from 1 species